rnacentral:tRNA from 1 species
GGCUGUAGCUCAGUGGCAGAGCGCUUGCGUAGCAUGCAUGAGGCACUGGGUUCAAUCCUCAGCACCA